rnacentral:lncRNA from 1 species
GGACCUUCAUAGUUUGGGGUUCACUUGCCCCUGGAAUCGAGCGCGAAAGACAAGACUUUCUUGAGCACAAGGUCACCUUCUCGGAACACACGAGGCUUAACCUUCUUAUUGAAUGCUUUCUUCAUUCUCUGCUGAUAUAACUGACCAUGACACAUGGCAGUUGAUCUCUUCUUUUUGAUCAGAUUCAGUUGGUCGUAACGACUCUGAAUCCAUUCAGCAUCAGUCAACUUGGGACUUUGAGGGUGCUAUUUCUCUUUUGCUUCUUUCUUUCUUUUUCCUUGAUUUUGAUUUUGAUUUUGAUUUUUUUUUUUGAUUUGAUUUUCACCCUCCUCUUUUUUCUUUUUUUUUUGUUUUGAUUACAUUUGUAAUGCC